rnacentral:lncRNA from 10 species
UCAAAAUUAUCAUUUUACUGUUUUUACCAGUUGUUGACUCCAGCAGCUUCUGCUUCAGGUAUUUUUUUAAACCAGCGUGAAUAGACUAUGACCACAACUCAAGGAAAUCUUACUGCUGCUCACUUUUUGGGUCCACACUGCGUUUAUUAGCUGCAACGCUCACCGCUAUGGUCUGCAGCUUCACUCCUGAAGCCAGCGAGACCACGAACCCACCAGAAUGAAGAAACUCCGAACACAUCCAAACAUCAGAAGGAACAAACUCCGGACAGGCGGCCUUUAAGAACUGUAACACUCACCUCGAGGGUCUGCGGCUUCAUUCUUGAAGUCAGUGAGACCAAGAACCCACCAAUUCCGGACACAAUGUUACUCCAGAUAAUCAGCGCCAUUUUCUGAAGCUUGAGAUGCAGGAAAAGAGGAGUGCUAUCCAUUAGAUGGAGACAGGAAGUAGAAAAAGGGCUUAAAGUUUUGGCUUGUGUUACUUCCUUGGGGAGAUCUUGCUGGACCACAUCAGGAAUAGGAGGGGUGUGUCCCCACAGCACUGUGUACACGGGGACAAGUGAAGAGGAGGGAGGCAGGUCAUAUACCCUAGGCCGUAAAGGAGGGGAGUGGAAUCAAGGAAGAUGCAGCAGAAAAGAAGACUUUGAAAGCACUUAAAAGAAGACUUUGAAGGAUCUUAGGGAGCUUGGAUGGUGGAACCAUGAGAAGAGCACAGAGAAGUUGGUGAGGAUAAUUCCCCCCCUUCUCCAUAUUCUAUUGUCCUGGAAUGCCCCACCA